CCUACGGGAGGCAGCAGUGAGGAAUAUUGGUCAAUGGUCGGGAGACUGAACCAGCCAAGCCGCGUGAGGGAGGAAGGUACAGAGUAUCGUAAACCUCUUUUGUCAGGGAACAAAGGCGGGGACGUGUCCCCGGAUGAGUGUACCUGAAGAAAAAGCAUCGGCUAACUCCGUGCCAGCAGCCGCGGUAAUACGGAGGAUGCGAGCGUUAUCCGGAUGUAUUUGGUUUAAAGGGUGCGCAGGCGGUCUGUUAAGUCAGCGGGCAAAGCCCGGGGCUCAACCCCGGCCCGCCGUUGAAACUGGCAGUCUCGAGUUGGAGCGAAGUAUGCGGAAUGCGCGGUGUAGCGGUGAAAUGCAUAGAUAUCGCGCAGAACUCCGAUUGCGAAGGCAGCAUGCCGGCUCCACACUGACGCUGAGGCACGAAAGCGUGGGUAUCGAACAGGAGUAGAUACCCUUGUAGUC
rnacentral:rRNA from 1 species